rnacentral:rRNA from 1 species
CAGCCGCCGCGGGAAUAUGAAGGGGGCUAGCGUUGUUCGGAUUUACUGGGCGUAAAGGGCGCGUAGGCGGGCGAAUAAGUCAGGGGUGAAAUCCCAAGGCUCAACCUUGGAACUGCCUUUGAUACUGUUUGUCUUGAGUUCGAGAGAGGUAAGUGGAACUGCGAGUGUAGAGGUGAAAUUCGUAGAUAUUCGCAAGAACACCAGUGGCGAAGGCGGCUUACUGGCUCGAAACUGACGCUGAGGCGCGAAAGCGUGGGGAGCAAACAGGAUUAGAUACCCCCGUAGUCCCUGUCUCUUAUAC